rnacentral:rRNA from 1 species
GAUGAACGCUGGCUACAGGCUUAACACAUGCAAGUCGAGGGGAAACGACGGGGAAGCUUGCUUCCCCGGGCGUCGACCGGCGCACGGGUGAGUAACGCGUAUCCAACCUGCCUCUGACUGAGGGAUAACCCGUCGAAAGUCGGCCUAAUACCUCAUGGCAUCGUCUGCGGGCAUCCAACGACGAUUAAAGAUUUCAUCGGUCAGGGAUGGGGAUGCGUCUGAUUAGCUUGGUGGCGGGGUAACGGCCCACCAAGGCUACGAUCAGUAGGGGUUCUGAGAGGAAGGUCCCCCACAUUGGAACUGAGACACGGUCCAAACUCCUACGGGAGGCAGCAGUGAGGAAUAUUGGUCAAUGGGCGGGAGCCUGAACCAGCCAAGUAGCGUGCAGGAUGACGGCCCUAUGGGUUGUAAACUGCUUUUAUGCGGGGAUAAAGUGAGGGACGUGUCCUUCAUUGCAGGUACCGCAUGAAUAAGGACCGGCUAAUUCCGUG